UACAGAGGCCUCGAGCGUUAGGCGGAAUCACUGGGCUUAAAGCGUGUGUAGGCGGAUGCCUAAGUACCUUGUGAAAUCCCACGGCUCACCCGUGGAACUGCUCGGUAUACUGGGUGUCUUGAGCCACCUAGGGGCUACCGGAACAAAUGGUGGAGCGGUGAAAUGCGUAGAUAUCAUUUGGAACGCCAACGGAGAAAUCAGGUAGCUGGGGGUGUGCUGACGCUGAGACACGAAAGCCAGGGGAGCGAACGGG
rnacentral:rRNA from 1 species